rnacentral:rRNA from 1 species
AUUGAACGCUGGCGGCAGGCCUAACGCAUGCAAGUCGAGCGGAUGACGGGAGCUUGCUCCUUGAUUCAGCGGCGGACGGGUGAGUAAUGCCUAGGAAUCUGCCUGGUAGUGGGGGACAACGUUUCGAAAGGAACGCUAAUACCGCAUACGUCCUACGGGAGAAAGCAGGGGACCUUCGGGCCUUGCGCUAUCAGAUGAGCCUAGGUCGGAUUAGCUAGUAGGUGAGGUAAUGGCUCACCUAGGCGACGAUCCGUAACUGGUCUGAGAGGAUGAUCAGUCACACUGGAACUGAGACACGGUCCAGACUCCUACGGGAGGCAGCAGUGGGGAAUAUUGGACAAUGGGCGAAAGCCUGAUCCAGCCAUGCCGCGUGUGUGAAGAAGGUCUUCGGAUUGUAAAGCACUUUAAGUUGGGAGGAAGGGUUGUACGUUAAUACCGUGCAAUUUUGACGUUACCGACAGAAUAAGCACCGGCUAACUCCGUGCCAGCAGCCGCAGUAA